rnacentral:rRNA from 1 species
GAUGAACGCUGGCGGCGUGCCUAAUACAUGCAAGUCGAGCGAACAGACGAGGAGCUUGCUCCUCUGACGUUAGCGGCGGACGGGUGAGUAACACGUGGAUAACCUACCUAUAAGACUGGGAUAACUUCGGGAAACCGGAGCUAAUACCGGAUAACAUGUUGAACCGCAUGGUUCAACAGUGAAAGACGGUUUUGCUGUCACUUAUAGAUGGAUCCGCGCCGCAUUAGCUAGUUGGUAAGGUAACGGCUUACCAAGGGAACGAUGCGUAGCCGACCUGAGAGGGUGGUCGGCCACACUGGAACUGAGACACGGUCCAGACUCCUACGGGAGGCAGCAGUCGGGAAUCUUCCGCAAUGGGCGGAAGCCUGACGGAGCAACGCCGCGUGAGUGAAGAAGGUCUUCGGAUCGUAAAACUCUGUUAUUAGGGAAGAACAAAUGUGUAAGUAACUAUGCACGUCUUGACGGUACCUAAUCAGAAAGCCACGGCUAACUACGUG